CCCUUAGAUGUUCUGGGCCGCACGCGCGCUACACUGAUGCAUUCAACGAGUCUAAAACCUGCUCUGAUAGGGGUGGGUAAUCUUUUGAGUGUGCAUCGUGAUUGGGAUAGAUGAUUGCAAUUUUUCAUCUUCAACGAGGAAUGCCUAGUAAACGCAAGUCAUCAGCUUGCAUUGAUUACGUCCCUGCCCUUUGUACACACCGCCCGUCGCUCCUACCGAUUGAAUGAUCCGAUGAAUAUCAUGGAUUGAGGAUGCAAGUAGGUUAGCCUAUCUUCAUCUUCGAGAAGUGAAGUAAAUCUUAUCAUUUAGAGGAAGGAGAAGUCGUAACA
rnacentral:rRNA from 1 species